UGCUUUUGAAGGAGAUGGAUAUUUGAGCACUCAUGAACAAGUCAGAAACUAAAGCACAAUUUACAAGCACAGAAACAAAACAAAACAAAAAAUGUAGGCGAUAGAUUUGAAUAGACGUUUUGCUAAAGGAGAUCUACAAUAACAAGCAAGCACCUGAAAAGAUGACAUGCCACUACACACCUAUUAGGACUAAAAGACCGACCAUACCAAGUGUUGACAAAGAUAUGGAGUAACAGGAAUCUUCAUACACUCUUGGUGGAAAUGUGAGAUGGUAUAACCACUUUGGAACACAAUUGGAAGUUUCCUAAAACAUCGAAUACAAAACUAUCAUAUGAUCCAGCCAUUUCAUUCCUGUCUACCCAAGAGAAAUGAAAGCAUGUGUUUUAUACAAAGAUGUGUACACAAAUGUGCGCAGCAGCUUUGUUUGUAACAGCUAAAAACUAGACAUAUCCCAAAUGUCUAGCAAGAGAGAAACAGAUAAACAAACUGGUAUAUUCAUACAGUGGAACACUAUUUGGCUAUCAAACGAAAUGGACCAGCCAGGUGCGGUGGCUCACGCCUAUAAUCCCAGCACUUUGGGAGGCGGAGGUGGGCAGAUGGCUUGAGCUCAGGAGUUCGAGACCAGCCUGGGCAAUAUGGCAAAACACUAUCUCUACAAAAAAAUACAAAAAAAGAAAUUAGCCAGAUGUGGUGGUGCAGGCCUGUAGUCUCAGCUACUGGGGAGGCUGAGGUGGGAUGAUCACUUGACCCUGGGAGGCUGAGGCUGCAGUGAACCAAGAUCACACCACUGCACUUCAGCCUGGGUGACAAAGUGACAACCUGUCUUUAAAAGAAAAAGAAAAAGAAAAAGAAAGUGGACCACUGAGACAUGUAACAACAUGGGUGAAUCUCAAAAUGAUUAUGCUAAGUAAAAGAAGCCACAUUUUUUUUUAAAAGAGUACAUACUAUAUGGUUCUAGGAACCAUACAUUGUAGGAAGUGCAAGCUGAUAAAUGGCGAUAGUAGAUCCGUGGUUGCCUGAAUACAGGAUGAAGGUAUUACGGGGACACGAGACAAAUUUGGGGGCGACAGAUAUGUUCAUUGUCUUGUUUGUGAUGAUAGUUUCACAGAUGCGGGAACUUAUUAAUUGUAUGCUUUAAAUAUGUAUAGUACGUUGUACAUCAGUUAUACUUCCGUAAAGAAAAAAAUAUGAAAAUUUGGGCAUCUAUGUUGUACAGAUAUAGAUUCAAUUCCCAUAUUUAAGUCCCAGCGUCACCACUUAUAUUCUAUAUAAGCUUAGACAAGUCACUCAAUCCCUCUGAAUCUCAGCAGUCUCGUCUGUAAAAUGAAGAUGAUAAUAUUCCUAUCUUCCUUGGAAGAUUAUUAUGAACACAGAACAAAAUAAUAUUUAUAUAAUGCUUAAUAGCAUGCUUAGG
rnacentral:lncRNA from 10 species